rnacentral:rRNA from 1 species
UACGGGGGGAGCAAGCGUUGUCCGGAUUUACUGGGCGUAAAGAGCGCGCAGGCGGUUGGAUAAGUCGAAUGUGAAAGCCCCCGGCUCAACUGGGGAGGGUCAUUCGAUACUGUCCGACUCGAAGGCAGGAGAGGGAAGCGGAAUUCCCGGUGUAGUGGUGAAAUGCGUAGAUAUCGGGAGGAACACCAGUGGCGAAGGCGGCUUUCUGGCCUGUUCUUGACGCUGAGGCGCGAAAGCCAGGGGAGCAAACGGG